CCCGCGCCGCUUUUCCCCGGGCCCGAGGCCAGUUUAGCACGGCUGCCCUGCGCUCCGCUCUCCUCGGACUCGGGACGAGACGCUGCGAGGGAGCAGCGCCGCCGCCGUGCAAAGCCCCGGGUCUUUGCAGAGCGGCGCGCCCGGCUGCGGCGGGGCUGACGCGGCAGCGUGCGCUUCGCCCUCGCCCCGUCGCUGCCGAAAGCGGCGCGGCGGGCUUCUUUCCCGCCGCGGCUUCCCCGGGGCUUGCCGGCGCCGCGCGCGCCGCCCUUCCUCCGCCAGCGCCUCCGCCCUCCAACCGGGAUGCGAAGCCCGCGACAUCAAGCAACGCCUCCGAAAGAAGCCUCCUCGGCGCGCUUUUAUGCUGGUAUGCCCGGACAUCGGUGCCAGCAUCCAUGUGGUGCUUCCCGCACUCCAACUGUCAACAGCUUCCCUCCUCCCUCGGAAAAACUGGCAUUGCAAGAAAGAACCACCAUUGUGUGCCUGAUAGAAGGAUUCUUCGCUGAGGGCAUCCGUGCCACAUGGCUCCGCAAUAACGAAACCAUGGCAACAUCAGAAAACUCCAUCAGACCAGAGGGGUUCUUCUUAUAUAGCAAACUGCUCUUCAGUUCUCAAAACUUCAUGGGGAGAGAUACUUUAACUUGUAAGGUGGAGAAAAAUAUGCUUCCUUCCUUGACGUCAUGGAAGGCCACGGACAAGGACACUGGCAAGCCCUCAGCCUCCAACAAGUCCCUCUUCAGGUCCCGUUUCCAGGAGGCUGAAGAAGACUCAAGUGUGAUUCUUGGCUGCAUAGUGGAAGGGCCCUAUCCUGACAGCCUCUCCAUCACGUGGCACGAGAAUGGCAGACCCCUGACUGGAGACAACAGUGACAUUCACAACAGCGACGAGCCGGACGUUUUUCUCAACAGCAGCCUGGAAAUCGAUUUUGAUGAGUGGAAUUCAGCAAAGGAUUUUACAUGCACCAUCAGUCAGCAGGAGCUCGAAAUUCUGCACACCCGGAAGAGCAGUGAGAAAACUCAUGGUGAAGAAUGAAGACCAGUCCCUAUCCCAACAUCAUGGCCUUUUCCCCCGGCACAGAAUUGUCCCUGCAGCAGUCGGAUCAAGGCCUCUGGACGCCUUGUCUGUACACCUCAUUCUGGUUAAAUAAAAGACCUAUGCUUCACUCCCUGAUAUUCUUGGCUCUGGCCCCAAUUCUGUCUGUCAUUUGUGGCUGGUGGGCAGACAGUCUCUUAAAUGGAGGCAAGAGACAGUUCAUGUAUCAGACACAAGAGGGCUGGAUGCUACCACCUUGGUUUCUCUUAUGUGAUAUAUUCUCAACCUCUUCCCCAUCCCCCAAACAUUCCUAUGGUAUAAAAUACAAGAUAUUAGGAGGUCUGUCAUAAUGCAUCGCAUCACUUCUUCCCUAGCCCCCCUCUGAUUUGCUGUAGUUCUGCAAAGAUAUCUCAUAUUUGACUUUAUAAGGAGAUCAGACAUGUUAAUGGAUACACAAUCCAGUGGGGUGUCAGAGUGUCAGUAUUCUUGUCAGAGCUCUAGCCAGAGUCACGCCAUUUUAACAUGUUAUAAUCUGUAGUUGUUUAGCUUUCCUCCCUCCAGGCCCAGGUGGUGUCCAGGUCGCAUAUAUCCAUGGGAGAGAAGAAUCCUUAUCAGCCCGUUCCGGCCAACGACCUUGACGUCCUCGUCUUCCCAUGCCUUCGCAGACAGGACUACGGGGGAGGCUGGGAAUGGGUGUUUGACGUGUUGUUACUUUCACUUUAUGAGUCAUUCUCAACAAAGCUUCUGUUCAGCCAAGAGCCUCUUGCCCUUGGAUUGUGGACACCUGUAUCCUGAGCAUACUCUUCCAAUAAACCUUUGA